UCCGCCAGCACCCGGUCGCUAGGGCUCGGGCCACUUGAUAUAGGUGGAUGACAGAUGAUGUCCGCUAAUCGCGGAGAGCCGUUAGAGGCGACUCGUGGGCGAUUUUGGGCGCUCUCCGACGAGGAGGCCACGGUGAGCUCCGAUGAGGAGGCGGAUUCCGUCAGUUCAUCGUCAGCCAUCACCGGGGAGUCACCGUAUCUCGUCCGCGAGCCGGCGUCGAGGAUUUGUACGCUGGUGGAGGAGAAUAUCUCUGCGUUGCGUAGACGUGAAGAUAAGAAGAGGCGACAAAGACAAGAUGCGAUUGUCUUACGAUCAGGUCAGUGUUUGGAUUCUGUUGAUUAUGAUAUUUCUUCCAAUCUUUACAGAUCGAGGCCGAAGAGAAGUGAUCGGUCUUUGUCGGUGCUGUCACCGAUGACAUUCCUCUUGGAUAGCUUCGAUGCUGCCGAGUGGUUUGCGGUUCUUCGAAGGAGAAACAAUUUACAAAGGAGAAACAAUUUGCAACGCCAACUCUGUGGGAAUCGACGAUUCUGUGGUGAUCGGCGAUCUUCCAGAUCUCCGUUGCAUGUGUCGAGCAGGAGAUUUUCAAACGCUGUUCCUCUAAGUUUGGGCCGUGCGGGCCAAUAAAAUCCGUUGACUCACAUGAAGGGCUGUUUGGGCCUGGAGUCAACGAUCGAGGUCCACCUGACGAGUCGAGCACCACAAUUUGAUCGGGGUGUUCGACGUCGUUUAGGGUUUGGCAGAACCAUCUGGCAGCCGUCACCACCGCUGCAAUCUUCGUCUUCGGAGGGAAUUGUCGCCGCUGCGAUGAACCGUGGCGGGGGGCAGCCGAACCGCGGACGUGAGCCGCCGAGAGGAGGUCGUGGAGGCAGUCGCUGGGACGGAGUUCCGAGUGGUGGCCGAGGCAACUUCGUUCAAGGCGGACCUAGCAGGACAGCGGGUGAGGAUGGUGGUUCUCGGGAUGGGCAAGAUAAUAGGGACAAUGUCUUCGAUGACGGUGUAUUCCGGGCAGGCCAAGGGCACACAUAUGAUCAAGGAGGGUACCGGAAUACGGGGUUUCAGCGGCACAAUGCUGCGGACGCCGGUAUGGUAACAAUAAUUUUUAGCGUCGUUUCACAUCUGGUCCUUACUAUGAUAGGUUUGCAAAUAGUCGAAAUCCCCCAGCUCCAAAUGCUUUGAAUGCAAUUCAGCAACAAUUGGUAAGAGAUACCGCAGAGGCCUUAGCACAUCAAAUGGCGGAGGUUUCUAGUCAUAAACAGGGAGCAAAUGCAGACAGUGUGAUGCCCAAUGCCACCCAGAGCAAUGUGUCGCGGAUGGUUUCGGGUCAGCGUAAUGAAGUUAAUCAGCAGCCAACCAAUACCACUAAUGCUACAUAUGCUUUGUUAGCAGUUGCAGGUAUCAAUAAGCAAGUAUCUCAGAACAUAGUUGAAUCUGAUCAUCUAGCCGGAGAUAAUGCAGCAGGGGGGAAGAAAAAGGGUCCGACUUGUUAUCGUUGUGGGAAACCUGGACAUUUUCUGAAUGAUUGCGAGGUAAUCUUAUGUGAUUGUUGUCAGCGUUCUGGACAUAUUACUAAUGAAUGUCCGUUGUUGAAAGCUCCAAGACCUCGGUUGGCCAUGUAUGGUUUGGGCCAUGUCGAUUUGUCUUUUUGGGAGCUACCGCUGUCUGACUCGGUAAAGCCAAGAAUUGAGAACACAAGACUAGGAAGAGUGACUGUAUCCGGGGGAUCUCUUACUGUUGAUGAGGUGAUCACUCAGUUACAAUGGUUUGUUCCAGAUGAUCAAUAUGAGUGGGAGGUGCAAGAAGUGGAGGCUAAUGUCUUUAGGGUGAAUUUUCCAAGCAAGUUGGAUUUGGUACGAGUGCAGCGUUUUGGUCGUUACAAUAUUCCAGAUUCGGUCAUAUCCAUCUCUUUUGAUUUUUGGAAGAAAGAAUUCGAACCUAUUUGGGCACCGGAGGACAUCUGGGUACGGGUGCACCAGUUACCUCCGUUUGCACUUGAUGAUUUUCUGGCUAUAUAUGUGGGCUCUGGGUGACGUCUUUGGAAAGACCAUGAAUAUAGACACUGUUUUCACUCGCGCAAAUAAUGUUUUGCGUAUGUUGAUUACUUGUUUAGAUCCGUCACUAAUACCAACUACUUGGGACUUGAAGAUUAAAAACGAUUUUUAUUGUCUUAGAUUUGAGGUGGAGGGGCAGCAACCCAAUAUUUCACCAGAUGUCACUAUGACUGCAGCAUCAGGGGAAGAUGAUGACCCAAGUGGCAAUGGUUCUGGACAACUAGAGGAUAAUGUAGCGGAUCGGGAGGUUAAGAGGUCCAAGGGUGAGACCAACAAAGAGGCACAGAAUGAUAUAAACAGAAAGUCUAAUGAGUCUAAGGGUAAUACAAAGAAUUUAGCUAAUACACCAGUGCACUUUGGUUCACUUGAUAUCACAAAGCUAAACAGUACUUGGUCAGAUCAUUCUGUUCUAAAUUUGACAGACAAGGGUCUCUCUGAGGCGAGUGGACAGCAAAUGCCUGUUGUUCGCUUUCCGAAUGAUCUAAGUACUGCACAGGUUAUCUAGGCUCAUGUAGAUGUUGCUGUAUCCCCAUUGAUCAAGGAUGCGGCAACCAAGAUGAUACCACUAGUUGAUACUGAGGUUCAUAUCAACGAAUUGAAGAAUACAUGUUUAUAUUAUACUGGGGCAAAUAUGGCAGCCAAUUCAUCUGAUUUUUUGAGGGAGCAACACUUGUCCGCUGUUCGCUCUCCGGCGAGUCGGAAUUCACCGCUGUUCUCUCUGAAUACUGGAAAUGGUGCUACUAAUGUGCUGUUUGGGGUGGCCGGUCGACGUCGGGAGCAUGCAGAUGGUGCACGUCCACUGCAUGGGGCGUGUGAUCCUAGGCAGGAGGCCCGGUGUGCUCAGGCAGUGAGCGAUGGCUCGCCAAAAGCUGCCAGCGCUGGCGGACAGUGCCGGGACGGAGUGUGUGUGCCACUUGUCGACAGCCCAAGGCACGCGCUUCAUCAGCAGCGUAGCAGCCCGAGGCCUAUAUUGCAUGCCGAGCCCAACUUGCAUGGCAAUGGAUGCGUGACACAAGUCCCUGUAUUGGAAGAGGCAAAAACUUUUACUCGUGAGGAGGUUAUUGCAUUUGGCGGGAUUUCGUGUGCGGGGGACUCGUUCUAGUGCAAGGAUCGGAGCUCAACCCAAUGUAGAUGAUUCUCAAUUGCAGAGAGCUAUGGCCUCGGUGCAGCGAAAGUCUAUGUAUAAUUUGCCUGGUUAUUCUUCGUGCGGUGCAUUGGAUACAGGUAUGGGCAUACCUACUUCCGGAGGAGCUGCGAGAUAUUAUGGCUACUGGAUGCAACCAUCUAGUGACGGUCACACGAGACUGUUAUUUCCUGGAUGGCGGCAUAUUAGAAGAAUUGGAGAUGGAUAGUUUUUUAUACUUUUCAUCUUUGUUUGGUAGGUCCUUGUCUCGACUUUAGAUACGGCAUGGUUGUAAUAAGUACACACUUUGAACAUCUUUUAAAUAAAUGAAAUGGUUGUGUGCAUCGAUUGAUGCAGAGGCCGGGCUAUGCUCC